UGAACGCUGGCGGCGUGCCUAAUACAUGCAAGUCGAGCGAACGGACGAGAAGCUUGCUUCUCUGAUGUUAGCGGCGGACGGGUGAGUAACACGUGGAUAACCUACCUAUAAGACUGGGAUAACUUCGGGAAACCGGAGCUAAUACCGGAUAAUAUUUUGAACCGCAUGGUUCAAAAGUGAAAGACGGUCUUGCUGUCACUUAUAGAUGGAUCCGCGCCGCAUUAGCUAGUUGGUAAGGUAACGGCUUACCAAGGCAACGAUGCAUAGCCGACCUGAGAGGGUGAUCGGCCACACUGGAACUGAGACACGGUCCAGACUCCUACGGGAGGCAGCAGUAGGGAAUCUUCCGCAAUGGGCGAAAGCCUGACGGAGCAACGCCGCGUGAGUGAUGAAGGUCUUCGGAUCGUAAAACUCUGUUAUUAGGGAAGAACAUAUGUGUAAGUAACUGUGCACAUCUUGACGGUACCUAAUCAGAAAGCCACGGCUAACUACGUGCCAGCAGCCGCGGUAAUACGUAGGUGGCAAGCGUUAUCCGGAAUUAUUGGGCGUAAAGCGCGCGUAGGCGGUUUUUUAAGUCUGAUGUGAAAGCCCACGGCUCAACCGUGGAGGGUCAUUGGAAACUGGAAAACUUGAGUGCAGAAGAGGAAAGUGGAAUUCCAUGUGUAGCGGUGAAAUGCGCAGAGAUAUGGAGGAACACCAGUGGCGAAGGCGACUUUCUGGUCUGUAACUGACGCUGAUGUGCGAAAGCGUGGGGAUCAAACAGGAUUAGAUACCCUGGUAGUCCACGCCGUAAACGAUGAGUGCUAAGUGUUAGGGGGUUUCCGCCCCUUAGUGCUGCAGCUAACGCAUUAAGCACUCCGCCUGGGGAGUACGACCGCAAGGUUGAAACUCAAAGGAAUUGACGGGGACCCGCACAAGCGGUGGAGCAUGUGGUUUAAUUCGAAGCAACGCGAAGAACCUUACCAAAUCUUGACAUCCUUUGACAACUCUAGAGAUAGAGCCUUCCCCUUCGGGGGACAAAGUGACAGGUGGUGCAUGGUUGUCGUCAGCUCGUGUCGUGAGAUGUUGGGUUAAGUCCCGCAACGAGCGCAACCCUUAAGCUUAGUUGCCAUCAUUAAGUUGGGCACUCUAAGUUGACUGCCGGUGACAAACCGGAGGAAGGUGGGGAUGACGUCAAAUCAUCAUGCCCCUUAUGAUUUGGGCUACACACGUGCUACAAUGGACAAUACAAAGGGCAGCGAAACCGCGAGGUCAAGCAAAUCCCAUAAAGUUGUUCUCAGUUCGGAUUGUAGUCUGCAACUCGACUACAUGAAGCUGGAAUCGCUAGUAAUCGUAGAUCAGCAUGCUACGGUGAAUACGUUCCCGGGUCUUGUACACACCGCCCGUCACACCACGAGAGUUUGUAACACCCGAAGCCGGUGGAGUAACCUUUUAGGAGCUAGCCGUCGAAGGUGGGACAAAUGAUUGGGGUGA
rnacentral:rRNA from 1 species